UACGUAGGGUGCAAGCGUUAAUCGGAAUUACUGGGCGUAAAGCGUGCGCAGGCGGUUAUGCAAGACAGAUGUGAAAUCCCCGGGCUCAACCCGGGAACUGCUUCUGAUACUGGCGGACUUGAGGCCAGUAGAGGUCACUGGAACUGACGGUGGAGCGGUGAAAUGCGUAGAUAUCGUCAGGAACGCCGGUGGUGAAGACGGGUGACUGGGCUGGUUCUGACACUGAGGCACGAAAGCGUGGGGAGCGAACGGG
rnacentral:rRNA from 1 species